rnacentral:rRNA from 1 species
UACGGGGGGAGCAAGCGUUGUUCGGAUUUACUGGGCGUAAAGGGCGCGUAGGCGGUCAGCACAAGUCAGUUGUGAAAUCUCCGGGCUUAACUCGGAAAGGUCAACUGAUACUGUGCGACUAGAGUGCGGAAGGGGCAACUGGAAUUCCUGGUGUAGCGGUGAAAUGCGCAGAUAUCAGGAGGAACACCGGUGGCGAAGGCGGGUCUCUGGGCCGAUACUGACGCUGAGGAGCGAAAGCGUGGGGAGCGAACAGG